rnacentral:rRNA from 1 species
CAGCCGCCGCGGUAAUACGAGGGGGGCAAGCGUUGUUCGGAAUUAUUGGGCGUAAAGGGUGCGUAGGCGGUUUGGCAAGUUUGGUGUGAAAUCUUCGGGCUCAACUCGAAGUCUGCAUCGAAAACUGCCGGGCUUGAGUAUGGGAGAGGUGAGUGGGAUUUCCGGUGUAGCGGUGAAAUGCGUAGAUAUCGGAAGGAACACCUGUGGCGAAAGCGGCUCACUGGACCAUAACUGACGCUGAUGCACGAAAGCUAGGGGAGCAAACAGGAUUAGAUACCCCAGUAGUCCCUGUCUCUUAUAC